UAGGGAAUCUUCCGCAAUGGACGCAAGUCUGACGGAGCAACGCCGCGUGAGUGAAGAAGGAUUUCGGUUCGUAAAACUCUGUUGUUAGAGAAGAACAGCGCAUAGAGUAACUGUUAUGCGUGUGACGGUAUCUAACCAGAAAGCCACGGCUAACUACGUGCCAGCAGCCGCGGUAAUACGUAGGUGGCAAGCGUUGUCCGGAUUUAUUGGGCGUAAAGCGAGCGCAGGCGGUCAAUUAAGUCUGAUGUGAAAGCUCCCGGCUCAACCGGGGAGGGUCAUUGGAAACUGGUUGACUUGAGUGCAGAAGAGGAGAGUGGAAUUCCAUGUGUAGCGGUGAAAUGCGUAGAUAUAUGGAGGAACACCAGUGGCGAAGGCGACUCUCUGGUCUGUAACUGACGCUGAGGCUCGAAAGCGUGGGUAGCAAACAGG
rnacentral:rRNA from 1 species